GAUGAACGCUGGCGGCGUGCCUAAUACAUGCAAGUCGAGCGAACAGAUGAGGAGCUUGCUCCUCUGACGUUAGCGGCGGACGGGUGAGUAACACGUGGAUAACCUACCUAUAAGACUGGGAUAACUUCGGGAAACCGGAGCUAAUACCGGAUAAUAUAUUGAACCGCAUGGUUCAAUAGUGAAAGACGGUUUUGCUGUCACUUAUAGAUGGAUCCGCGCCGCAUUAGCUAGUUGGUAAGGUAACGGCUACCAAGGCAAAGAUGCGUAGCCGACCUGAGAGGGUGAUCGGCCACACUGGAACUGAGACACGGUCCAGACUCCUACGGGAGGCAGCAGUAGGGAAUCUUCCGCAAUGGGCGAAAGCCUGACGGAGCAACGCCGCGUGAGUGAUGAAGGUCUUCGGAUCGUAAAACUCUGUUAUUAGGGAAGAACAAAUGUGUAAGUAACUAUGCACGUCUUGACGGUACCUAAUCAGAAAGCCACGGCUAACUACGUG
rnacentral:rRNA from 1 species